ACGGGAGGCAGCAGUGGGGAAUAUUGCACAAUGGGGGAAACCCUGAUGCAGCGAUGCCGCGUGGAGGAAGAAGGUUUUCGGAUUGUAAACUCCUGUCUUAAAGGACGAUAAUGACGGUACUUUAGGAGGAAGCUCCGGCUAACUACGUGCCAGCAGCCGCGGUAAUACGUAGGGAGCGAGCGUUGUCCGGAAUUACUGGGUGUAAAGGGAGCGUAGGCGGGACGGCAAGUCAGAUGUGAAAUACAUGGGCUCAACCCAUGGGCUGCAUUUGAAACUGCUGUUCUUGAGUGAAGUAGAGGUAAGCGGAAUUCCUAGUGUAGCGGUGAAAUGCGUAGAUAUUAGGAGGAACACCAGUGGCGAAGGCGGCUUACUGGACUGUAACUGACGUUGAGGCUCGAAAGCGUGGGGAGCAAACAGGAUUAGAUACCCUGGUA
rnacentral:rRNA from 1 species